rnacentral:lncRNA from 1 species
CUGGACCCAAUCUGAUCAGUUAGGCAGUUAGGCGGUUACUGCCCAAAUGACCAGAUCACCCCCAUAAGAAUCCCUAUAAAUAGAGGGCACCCCCCACUCAUUGAAGGCAGGUCAUUUGGAGAAGAAGAAUUCCUAGCGAAGCAGAGCUCUGCACACUUGAGUUCCGGUCCGGUUUCCCGCGGAGUUCCCCGCUUGGCGCUUGCUUGCGCGUCUUGGAGUACUGGUCGGGUUUC